AGGCUCAAUGGUGGGAACGUGGGUUCGACUGCCUGAAAAGCGGUAGGUCGGCGGUUCGACCCCGCCCCUGACCA
rnacentral:tRNA from 1 species